GACGAACGCUGGCGGCGUGCUUAACACAUGCAAGUCGAACGGAAAGGCCCUGCUUUUGUGGGCUGCUCGAGUGGCGAACGGGAGAGUAACACGUGAGUCACCUGCCCCUGACUCAGGGAUAACUUCAGGAAGCUGAGGCUAAUACCGGCUAGGAUCUCCUGCUGCUUGGUGGGGGUUGGUUAGCUUCGGCGGUUGGGGAUGGGAUCGCGGCUUAUCAGCUUGUUGGUGAGGUAGUGGCUGACCAAGGCUUUGACGGGUAGCCGGCCUGAGAGGGUGACCGGCCACACUGGGACUGAGAUACGGCCCAGACUCCUACGGGAGGCAGCAGUGGGGAAUAUUGCACAAUGGGCGGAAGCCUGAUGCAGCAACGCCGCGUGCGGGAUGACGGCCUUCGGGUUGUAAACCGCUUUCGCCUGUGACGAAGCGAGAGUGACGGUAGGGGGAGAAGAAGCACCGGCUAACUACGUG
rnacentral:rRNA from 1 species